rnacentral:rRNA from 1 species
ACACGACUACAUUAGAUACCCCGGUAGUCCCAGCCGUAAACGAUGCGCGUUAGGUGUGUCGGUGACCACGAGUCACCGAGGUGCCGAAGGGAAACCGUGAAACGUGCCGCCUGGGAAGUACGGUCGCAAGGCUGAAACUUAAAGGAAUUGGCGGGGAGCACCACAACGGGUGGAGCCUGCGGUUUAAUUGGACUCAACGCCGGGAAGCUCACCGGAUAAGACAGCGGAAUGAUUGCCGGGCUGAAGACUCUGCAUGACUAGCUG